rnacentral:rRNA from 1 species
GAUGAACGCUGGCGGCGUGCCUAAUACAUGCAAGUCGAGCGAACAGACGAGGAGCUUGCUCCUCUGACGUUAGCGGCGGACGGGUGAGUAACACGUGGAUAACCUACCUAUAAGACUGGGAUAACUUCGGGAAACCGGAGCUAAUACCGGAUAACAUGUUGAACCGCAUGGUUCAACAGUGAAAGACGGUCUUGCUGUCACUUAUAGAUGGAUCCGCGCCGCAUUAGCUAGUUGGUAAGGUAACGGCUUACCAAGGCAACGAUGCGAAGCCGACCUGAGAGGGUGAUCGGCCACACUGGAACUGAGACACGGUCCAGACUCCUACGGGAGGCAGCAGUAGGGAAUCUUCCGCAAUGGGCGAAAGCCUGACGGAGCAACGCCGCGUGAGUGAAGAAGGUCUUCGGAUCGUAAAACUCUGUUAUUAGGGAAGAACAAAUGUGUAAGUAACUAUGCACGUCUUGACGGUACCUAAUCAGAAAGCCACGGCUAACUACGUG